UGGGGAAUAUUGCACAAUGGGCGCAAGCCUGAUGCAGCCAUGCCGCGUGUAUGAAGAAGGCCUUCGGGUUGUAAAGUACUUUCAGCGGGGAGGAAGGGAGUAAAGUUAAUACCUUUGCUCAUUGACGUUACCCGCAGAAGAAGCACCGGCUAACUCCGUGCCAGCAGCCGCGGUAAUACGGAGGGUGCAAGCGUUAAUCGGAAUUACUGGGCGUAAAGCGCACGCAGGCGGUUUGUUAAGUCAGAUGUGAAAUCCCCGGGCUCAACCUGGGAACUGCGUCGGAUACUGGCGAGCUUGAGUCUCGUAGAGGGGGGUAGAAUUCCAGGUGUAGCGGUGAAAUGCGUAGAGAUCUGGAGGAAUACCGGUGGAGAAGGCGGCCACCUGGACGAAGACUGACGCUCAGGUGCGAAAGCGUGGGGAGCAAACAGG
rnacentral:rRNA from 1 species